AAAAAUUUAUUAUAAUUUUUAUAUUAAAAAAAAAAAAAAUUAUAAUUUAUAAAUUUUUAGUGUAAUAAUAAUUAAAUAAAAUUUAUAUAAAAAUUUAUUAAUUUAAUAAUUAAAAUUUAUGAUUAUUAUUAUUUUAAUUUAAAAUAAGUUUAUUAAAUAAAUUUAAUUAAAAUAGUGCCAGCAAUUGCGGUUAUACUAUUAAAUUAAUAAAUUAAAUAUUUUUGUUUUUUUUAAUUUAAUAAAAAAAAAGAAUUUUAAAGUAAAAUUUUAUAAUUUUUUAAAAUAUAUAUUUUAAUAUAAAAAACUAGGAUUAGAUACCCUUUUAUUUAUUUUUAAAAUUUUUUAUUUAAUAAAUAUUUUUUAAUAAAAAAUUAAUUAAAAUGGCAGUAUAUUAUAAAAUUAGAGGAUUUUGUUAUAUAAUAGAUAUUACACUUUAAAAUUUAUUUAAUUUUUUUGUUAUAUAUUGUAUAUUGUUGUAUUAAACUGAUAUUUAAAAAUUAUUAGUAUUUUUUUUAAAAAAAAAUAAAUUCAAAUCAACAUACAUGUCAUAAUUAAAAUUUAAAUGAAAUACAAUUAAAUCUAUUAAUGAAUAAUAAAUUGUAAAAUUUAUUUAAAAUUGGAUUUAAUAGUAAAAAUUUAAUAAAUUUUUUAUUUGAAUUAAAUUAAUAUAUGUACAUAUUGCCCGUCGUUUUUAAUUAAAAUUAAAAUAAGUCGUAACAAAGUUAAUAUAUUGGAAAAUAUAUUUA
rnacentral:rRNA from 1 species